GCCCCCUUAGCUCAGGGGAUAGAGCAACGGCCUCCGGAGCCGUGUGCGCAGGUUCGAAUCCUGCAGGGGGCACC
rnacentral:tRNA from 12 species